UACAGAGGUCUCAAGCGUUGUUCGGAUUCAUUGGGCGUAAAGGGUGCGUAGGCGGCGCGGUAAGUCGGGGUGUGAAAUCUCGGAGCUUAACUCCGAAACUGCAUUCGAUACUGCCGUGCUCGGAGGACUGGAGAGGAGACUGGAAUUUACGGUGUAGCGGUGAAAUGCGUAGAUAUCGUAAGGAAGACCAGUGGCGAAGGCGGGUCUCUGGACAGUUCCUGACGCUGAGGCACGAAGGCCAGGGGAGCAAACGGG
rnacentral:rRNA from 1 species